rnacentral:lncRNA from 1 species
AACUGGACCCGUAGAAGUUAAGUGAUGUCCCUGUUUGCAGUGUCAAUGAGAUUGAGGGCUUGGGCUUGAACCCAACCUUCUCCCUCCAAAUAGCCUGCUCUUUCUGUUAUGUCAUGUUUCAUAUACAAGUUUGGGAGCCUCCAGCCCUGACUAUCCCAACAUAUACAACAUAAUGUAUAUGUUGUCUUUGGAAAUAUCUUCUGUGAAGGCCAAGCAUUUAAUAUUACAGGAAACCUUGAAGUGGAUAUGGAAGCUUGGCAGCCAGCUUGGAUCUUCCUAAGAGCCUCUUUCCUUCAUACCAUCUUCAGAUUGUUAUUCCGUGACAUCUUAUCUACUUAAGCAGCUAACCCAUGAGGCAUCCAAAACAGAGAGAAAAAACAGAGUGAACAUUUUGCCUUAUGGAAUUGUCAAAAGUUGCGGUCGAAACACAGGCAAGAUUUGGAAGAAUCUGUAAUGAGCCAGGGCCAGUUUUCCUAGUUAUAGAGCCUAGGCUGGAGGAGGUACAUGGGCUGGGGAAGGAGAGGGAAUUAGAGAUUGGCUGUUCCUGGAAACUCUCUGCCUGUACUCCAUGGCCUGAGUCCCAGGACCUGGAAGCGGCUGAAAAUCUGAGAUAUAGAAGAGACUGGUGCUGCCUUUCUGGGGAGGGCUUGGGAAAACAGCAAGUUCCCUGAAUUUUUCCAUGGCACAGGAGCAGAUGAAAUGUCAUGAUUGGUGUCCAGGCUAGUGGACUGAGUUAACUCCCGAGAGUCCCUGUACUCUCCAGCAUGGCACGAGGAGAAGCAAACCAUUUUCCUAUGCAGCCAUAGGAAAACGGUACAAACACGACACUGAAAUUCAGCUGACCGCAAGAGCUUGAUGGUCAGUGUGAGCCAGAUGGAGCAGGAACAUGUAUGGAUGGAAAACCCAGAUCCAAAGUUCAUCCCCCUCUCCCGUGGAUGCUCCAGCACAUUGCAAGGUUUCCCAGAAACUUAGAGGCAACCUUGGCACAAGGACAUGAUUUGUUGGAAAUUAAGUUUUGUCACCUGGGGGACUGCGAGCUUGAUACGGAAAUUAAUUCAGUUAUAUAAUUAUAAAAAUGAUGCACUUUCUACACAUCUGAUUUUGUGAACCCAAAUUAGUUUCCACAACGCAACUGUGUUAACAUUUGCCAACCUCUGGGGCAACAUUGGUUGUCUUUGUUGCUUUUUUCUAGAAGUUUUCAGCUCAAACUCAUCUUUCCCUUUUUUAUUUUCAUUUCUAAAUUCUGGUGAGUGGUGUUUUGAUAAGUAGAUAUCAGCUAUUUCCUGUCUUACUUGAAAAGUCUUCUCUGUAUUAAAUAACAAAGGUCACUUAGAUAAAUAUCUUCUCAUUACCAGAGGGUAGGGAACUGCUUCUCCUAUACAUAACUUCUAUUAUCUUUCAAUCCAGAAAAAAAAACGUGGCAGGAGGACAAGUUUUUGAAUGUUAUGAAUCGUGAUUUCUGUGUCUAAAAUCUGCUCUUUUGUUAACACUAAGGGCAACUUCCUUCAAAGUGGUUCAUCUUGGUCUAUUACUGUGUUUGUGUGUGUGUGUGUGUGUGUGUGUGUGUGUGUGUGUGU